rnacentral:rRNA from 1 species
GACCAGACUCCUACGGGAGGCAGCAGUGGGGAAUAUUGCACAAUGGGGGAAACCCUGAUGCAGCGACGCCGCGUGAGCGAUGAAGUAUUUCGGUAUGUAAAGCUCUAUCAGCAGGGAAGAAAAUGACGGUACCUGACUAAGAAGCCCCGGCUAACUACGUGCCAGCAGCCGCGGUAAUACGUAGGGGGCGAGCGUUAUCCGGAUUCACUGGGUGUAAAGGGAGCGUAGACGGCCAUGCAAGCCAGGGGUGAAAGCCCGGGGCCCAACCCCGGGACUGCCCUUGGAACUGCAUGGCUGGAGUGCGGGAGGGGCAGGCGGAAUUCCUGGUGUAGCGGUGAAAUGCGUAGAUAUCAGGAGGAACACCGGCGGCGAAGGCGGCCUGCUGGACCGCGACUGACGUUGAGGCUCGAAAGCGUGGGGAGCGAACAGGAUUAGAUACCCGGGUAGGC